UUUGCGUCUAUUCUUGGUUUUCCCCUGUUUUUGGUUUUUCUCCCGAAGCUUUCACCUUACGCGACUCUCUCUCUGAAAUCGUCAAGCGAUGCAUCAGUCCAUUAUCUUCCUUCACGAAUCUUCCUCUGUUUGCUAUGCAUAAAUCCAUUUUCUUCCUUUCGUAUCUACCCGUCUUCCUUAUGGCAAUAUGUGUUUCUCAUCAUCAUUGGUAUAACAUCUGUCCAAUCUUCAUGUGAGUUAUGCGGCCGUUGCUGAGGCGGCUCUUGGCCAAGCCUGAAGUUGCGAGCCAAUAGAGAUAGGAAAGAAAGCGAAGAGAUCAAGGAAGGGGAAGAAAGCUUGGAGAGCCAAACAUAAGCGUUGCCGAAAUCGAAGACUUCUUCAAAAAAUCCGCCAAACACGCGCUCUCCGGUGGCUCCCUCACUGAUCUUCCUAGCGACUCUCUCUUCUACGUCGACAAGUCUAAAGGUACUCGCUGGGACGUUGCUUUCUCCUGGCGAUGGCGUCUAUACUUGGAUGUGUUCCUUGCAUCCAUUUGUUGUUCCUGUUGCGCUUUGCUCUUCCUAUGCUUGCUACACAACCAAUCAAUUCAAUGGAUUUUUUCUUUGAUGAAGUGAAUUUUGGAGCUUCUAACUAUGCACAUUCUGCAUAUUCCAUGGUUCUUGUGGCCAUGGCGAGCAUUGCAUCUUUAUUUGUUUUAUCUAAAAGCAAUGGAUUUGUUGGAAUCUUGGUUAUUUCUUUCAAUUGGCCAUCCUCCUAGACAAGGUAAUUCAUCAAUACAUUCCUCCCGACAACGAUACAAAAGUAUGCAUUCUACUAUCAAAAGAGACAACAGUAUUGUUCAAGAUAAUUCAUGUCCAGACUAUCUAGGAAGAUGAACUGGUGUUACCUUUGUUGAUGGUCUUUUAAAGCUUGGCAUCUGCAGUUCUUUGGGAUACCUGGCAGAUGGGGCAAAGAUGGGAAAAAAGUGGUGCUUCUUUAGCUUCAGAGACAGGAAGCACCCAACUGGGUUUAAAAAACAGAGCCACUGGAGCUAGCUACUGGAAGGCCACAAUGAAAGACAGAGAGGUUUACAGUGCUUCAAUAGAGUAGGUUUGAUUCUAAUGCGAAAACCCAAGAUUGGUCUGAAUUUAGAGUCGUCUUUAAUUUUGCGGGGUUUAUAUCUAGACAAGGGGAUAUCGAGAUACAGUUCGUGAAAACUGAGAAAUUCAAUAGGAAUUUAGUUUCAGAUGGCUGCAACAAUGGAAACUGACGAUGACAAUGAGAACAAUAAAGGUAGUAUGUAGGCUUUGGAUCAGAAGUUUGAUCAGUCCAUGGAUGAGGAGGCGGCAGUCUCAAGAAUAUGUACAGAGAAAAGGUCUUGACAGUUACAAUCAAUUGUAGAAGAGGUAUUCUAUCUAACUGAGUCAUACCAAUGGGGAGAUGCAUGGUCUGGAUAUACACCGAGCAUGACCUUUAGGCUUUACUAAUUACACACUGAUGAGAUAAUGUUGUGUGGAGUGAGCUUUUCGAUCUGUUUAGACAUGGUCUGGUAUGUCAUUUAAAUACUUUACUUGGGAAUUCGAUUUAUGAUUUCUGUGCUUAGUUUUAGUUUUGGACUUUCAAGGAUUGAAUUGGAUUAGAUUUUCAAAAGUAGCAUUUUAUUUGUUGAGGUGGAGCAUUUCAUUUCAUUACCUAGCAUUGGAAAUUGUAAACCCAAGAUGUAUGUGGCAAGGUGGUUCCAGGCAUUGGUAACUCUGCCUUGGGAGAAUGAGAUAGAGAUUCGCCUGUUCGAUAUGGAGGAGAAUACGACGUCUCUGUCUGAGGUGUACAAACUUGGUUUUGAGUUUUGGAUCCUUCCAAGUGGGUGGAAUUGUGUCAGUGAAAUGAAAUUUGGAUGCUAUUUCUGUCUGGGUAAAUAAAUACCGAUUUUCAUGUUGGUGGUGUACCAUUUUGAUUCUUCUAUCUAGUUUUUGACUUUCCGUAUGGGGUGUGGGAUUGGAAUAAAUUUGUCGACAUGAAAACUUACUUCCCUAAGCUCAGUCCUGGGGGGGUCCUGCCUCAAAGUGAUGCUGGUACAUUCAAUGUUGGGGACAGAAGUGAAACCAUGGAGAUCGUUACUUCUCCAAGGAAAGAAGUUGAGAAUGAUAUAGGGAAUGAUGAACAUGAAGAGCGAAAUUGAUGGGGAUAGAGAGAGCAUGUCAAUUGGGAGAACAGUAGUGGUGGAUUGAACAUAUGGAAGUGGAGCUUAAAUGGGAUUGGAGCUAUCUGUUCAUUUCAUGUUGCUGCUGCUGCUCCCUUUUGUGUCAGUCACCAUAGAAACAAACAGC